GGCGCACGGGUGCGUAACGCGUAUGCAAUCUGCCUUCCACAGAGGGAUAGCCCAGAGAAAUUUGGAUUAAUACCUCAUAGCAUCAUGACCCGGCAUCGGGAUAUGAUUAAAGUCACAACGGUGGAAGAUGAGCAUGCGUCCCAUUAGCUAGUUGGUAAGGUAACGGCUUACCAAGGCUACGAUGGGUAGGGGUCCUGAGAGGGAGAUCCCCCACACUGGUACUGAGACACGGACCAGACUCCUACGGGAGGCAGCAGUGAGGAAUAUUGGUCAAUGGGCGCAAGCCUGAACCAGCCAUGCCGCGUGCAGGAUGACGGUCCUAUGGAUUGUAAACUGCUUUUGUACGGGAAGAAACCCUCCUACGUGUAGGAGCUUGACGGUACCGUAAGAAUAAGGAUCGGCUAACUCCGUGCCAGCAGCCGCGGUAAUACGGAGGAUCCAAGCGUUAUCCGGAAUCAUUGGGUUUAAAGGGUCUGUAGGCGGUCUUGUAAGUCAGUGGUGAAAGCCCAUCGCUCAACGGUGGAACGGCCAUUGAUACUGCUGGACUUGAAUUAUUGGGAAGCAACUAGAAUAUGUAGUGUAGCGGUGAAAUGCUUAGAGAUUACAUGGAAUACCAAUUGCGAAGGCAGGUUGCUACCAAUGGAUUGACGCUGAUGGACGAAAGCGUGGGUAGCGAACAGGAUUAGAUACCCUGGUAGUCCACGCCGUAAACGAUGGAUACUAGCUGUUGGGCGCAAGUUCAGUGGCUAAGCGAAAGUGAUAAGUAUCCCACCUGGGGAGUACGAACGCAAGUUUGAAACUCAAAGGAAUUGACGGGGGCCCGCACAAGCGGUGGAGCAUGUGGUUUAAUUCGAUGAUACGCGAGGAACCUUACCAAGGCUUAAAUGCAGACUGACCGGUUUGGAAACAGACCUUUCGCAAGACGGUCUACAAGGUGCUGCAUGGUUGUC
rnacentral:rRNA from 1 species